AUGCCAGGCCACUGGAUCAGGGAUUGCCACAGGAGGAAAGCCGACGAGGCAGCCGUGACAACGGCAAACCUCGUCCAGGAUGACAUGGACGGCGGGCCGACAAUGAUGCUGGCAAGAGUCGAGCCCGUGCAGGAGAGCUCAACGUCUCUCGUGACCACGACCCCGACCACCACCCAUUUCGUGCAGGAGGCACGGAGCCCAUCCAUGGGAACCAUCACUCCAGUGACAGGCCACACCUCGACAACGAUGUUCUCGGGGCCUGUCGACUGGGAGGCGAUGAAGGCCCGGGUGUGGGGGAGCCACACCCCGGCAACGGCGUCCCCGACAAGCUCGGGGCCCAACGAUGUCACGCAAGUUGGCGCGGCAACGAUGCAUAUGGCGGACCAUGCUCCGACCAUGAUGCUGGCGACCAUCGACUCCGUGCAGGAGCGCACGGAGAAUUAG
rnacentral:rRNA from 1 species